rnacentral:rRNA from 1 species
GGGUUCUGCAUGUCUAGUAUAGCACUUUAUACUGUGAAACUGCGAAUGGCUCAUUAAAUCAGUUAUCGUUUAUUUGAUAGUACCUUACUACAUGGAUACCUGUGGUAAUUCUAGAGCUAAUACAUGCUAAAAACCCCGACUUCGGAAGGGGUGUAUUUAUUAGAUAAAAAACCAAUGCCCUUCGGGGCUCCUUGGUGAUUCAUAAUAACUUAACGAAUCGCAUGGCCUUGCGCCGGCGAUGGUUCAUUCAAAUUUCUGCCCUAUCAACUUUCGAUGGUAGGAUAGUGGCCUACCAUGGUGGCAACGGGUAACGGGGAAUUAGGGUUCGAUUCCGGAGAGGGAGCCUGAGAAACGGCUACCACAUCCAAGGAAGGCAGCAGGCGCGCAAAUUACCCAAUCCCGACACGGGGAGGUAGUGACAAUAAAUACUGAUACGGGGCUCUUUCGGGUCUCGUAAUUGGAAUGAGUACAAUCUAAAUCCCUUAACGAGGAACAAUUGGAGGGCAAGUCUGGUGCCAGCAGCCGCGGUAAUUCCAGCUCCAAUAGCGUAUAUUAAAGUUGUUGCAGUUAAAAAGCUCGUAGUUGAACCUUGGGUCUGGCUGGCCGGUCCGCCUCACCGCGAGUACUGGUCCGGCUGGACCUUUCCUUCUGGGGAAUCCCAUGGCCUUCACUGGCUGUGGGGGGAACCAGGACUUUUACUGUGAAAAAAUUAGAGUGUUCAAAGCAGGCCUUUGCUCGAAUACAUUAGCAUGGAAUAAUAGAAUAGGACG